UUCAUUGAAAUGAUUAUGCAGUGUGUUUUUUUGAAGAUAUACUUCUUUAGGCGCGUUAUGAAAAAUUGAUGAAAUGAUGAGAGUGAAAUUUUACGAUGCGCGCGCACCGUGACACAAAAUUAACAGAAUGAAGUUGCCCACGGAAGAUGCUAUGGCAUUGGACAUAAUUUAAAAACAACAUUCGAAUAAUAAUAGAAUUUAUGUUACACUUAGGGUGGGUUGUUUCAAACCAUUUGCUAUCGUAACUUACGUUCGUUAAAAUUUGACAGACACGUAUGAACUUUAACGUCUGUUAACUUGUUAGCGUUGCUUCAUUGUUAAAAAAAGAGUUCGUCAUUGUUAAUGGGGUUGCCUGUUUGCGUAACGCUAUUUUGACCUAAUGUUUUAUGGGAAUUUUUUUUAGUAAUAACAACAUUGAUAAAAACAAUGUCAUUUGAAACAUUCUGUCAAGUUUGACAUCGAUGUUUAUUGUUUUGUACGAAAGGAUAGUUAAAAAGUGUUUAAUUUUAAUAUAAAUAAUGGAAACCUUUUCGCCAAAAGAACGUUCGGUAAAUUUGGAAAAGAAGAGGACAGAUUUAGAAAUUUAAUAGUAAAACAUAAACACAUAUUAUUUCAUAAAAAGACAGACAGUACUAACAAUUUUAAAAAAAAAGAGGGCAUGGAGUGCGAUUCAUGCAGAAUUUAAUGCCCUUUCAGAUAAUAAAUAUGAAAAAGAAAUUUUUGAGGUGCGUGUUCAACAUCUAAAUGAGAAGAGGAAGAACGAUGAAAUCAUUUUUAAACUACAAGAAAAAAAAUUACUUACUAUUAAUUAUACUAAAGGGAUGUAAGAUUAUAUGAAACUGCCAUUUCUAAUGUAAACUGUAUGAAAAGUGGUACUUAUUUACCUUUACAAUAAAAAAUAAACUUACUAUAACUUGUUUAUGAUCAGAAUUGCUUGAAACUUAGUAUAAAUGCUCUUCAAAAUAAUUAAAGUUGUGUGUAUAAAUGUUAUAAAAUUUGUGUAAAAAAUAAUAAAAACUGUAAAAAAUAGAUUUUUAAGAUGAAUUAAUUCUUAUGUGCAUAGGCAGGCUUAACUAUGUAAUGUUAUAAUUCGGUAAUAAAAAGGCAUAUUAUUUUU